rnacentral:rRNA from 1 species
GACGAACGCUGGCGGCGUGCUUAACACAUGCAAGUCGAACGGAAAGGCCCUGCUUUUGUGGGGUGCUCGAGUGGCGAACGGGUGAGUAACACGUGAGUAACCUGCCCUUGACUUUGGGAUAACUUCAGGAAACUGGGGCUAAUACCGGAUAGGAGCUCCUGCUGCAUGGUGGGGGUUGGAAAGUUUCGGCGGUUCGGGAUGGACUCGCGGCUUAUCAGCUUGUUGGUGGGGUAGUGGCUUACCAAGGCUUUGACGGGUAGCCGGCCUGAGAGGGUGACCGGCCACAUUGGGACUGGGAUACGGCCCAGACUCCUACGGGAGGCAGCAGUGGGGAAUAUUGCACAAUGGGCGGAAGCCUGAUGCAGCCACGCCGCGUGACGGAUGACGGCCUUCGGGUUGUAAACCGCUUUCGCCUGUGACGAAGCGUGAGUGACGGUAAUGGGUAAAGAAGCACCGGCUAACUACGUG